UAGCCUAGUGGUAAAGCGUUUGCUUGACAUGCAGAAGAUCCCGGGUUCGAAUCCCGC
rfam:Asian citrus Psyllid, Diaphorina citri - Florida Strain, whole genome shotgun sequence.